GAGUUUGAUCGUGGCUCAGAUUGAACGCUGGCGGCAGGCCUAACACAUGCAAGUCGAGCGGUAGAGAGAAGCUUGCUUCUCUUGAGAGCGGCGGACGGGUGAGUAAUGCCUAGGAAUCUGCCUGGUAGUGGGGGAUAACGCUCGGAAACGGACGCUAAUACCGCAUACGUCCUACGGGAGAAAGCAGGGGACCUUCGGGCCUUGCGCUAUCAGAUGAGCCUAGGUCGGAUUAGCUAGUUGGUGAGGUAAUGGCUCACCAAGGCGACGAUCCGUAACUGGUCUGAGAGGAUGAUCAGUCACACUGGAACUGAGACACGGUCCAGACUCCUACGGGAGGCAGCAGUGGGGAAUAUUGGACAAUGGGCGAAAGCCUGAUCCAGCCAUGCCGCGUGUGUGAAGAAGGUCUUCGGAUUGUAAAGCACUUUAAGUUGGAGGAAGGGCAGUAAAUUAAUAACUUUGCUGUUUUGACGUUACCGACAGAAUAAGCACCGGCUAACUCUGUGCCAACAGCCG
rnacentral:rRNA from 1 species